GAUGAAGAACGUAGUGAAAUGCGAUAAGUAAUGUGAAUUGCAGAAUUCAGUGAAUCAUCGAAUCUUUGAACGCACAUUGCGCCCGCCAGUAUUCUGGCGGGCAUGCCUGUUCGAGCGUCAUUUUCACCGUCAAGCUCUGCUUGUGUUGGGGUCCUGCGGCUGCCCGCAGGCCCUGAAACCCAGUGGCGGGCUCGCUAGUCACACCGAGCGCAGUAGCACAUCUCGCUCAGGGCGUGCGGCGGGUUCUUGCCGUAAAACAACCCCCCCUUUUCACCAAGGUUGACCUCGGAUCAGGUAGGAAUACCCGCUGAACUUAAGCAUAUCAAUAAGCGGAGGA
rnacentral:misc_RNA from 1 species